AAACAUAAACUAUUUUAUUCAAACUAUAAUAAUCUAAGACUAUAAUAACUCACUUCUUAUUAUAACUCCAAACACCUUAAGUGUCUAACUUCUUGUCAACCUAGUUGGAUGAUUAUUAUACAAGCCACAAAAUAUUUAAUACUAACUUCAUUCUUGCUUCUCCAUGGUUUCAACUUCUUUACCUUCCUUGAGGCCUACCUCCGUUGGUUGAUUUUGAUGGUGUAAGGAACACUAUGUUCCAUCCUCUCAAUGCAAGCUCUUGCAUUCUUGCUCCAUCAUCUCCCCAGGGAAGACCAUCAUACAAAAAUCAUUCUUGAUUUUGAAGAUGCAGGAAACAUUAUUUCACCUCCACACACUUACAUAAAUUGCUUUGAUUUUUUUUUUUAACAUCACCAAUUACUUUGAUUUUUUUUUCUCCAUAAAACAUCAGGUAUUCAAAGUUGCAAACGUCAAAAGAAAUAAGAUCUUUCUUGCCGAAAUAAAAGGACUCAACCUCAAGCCUCGAGAGAAAUAAAAAUGUUGCCCAAUAAUAAGAAGGGAUGUGGGGGAAGAGAAAAAAUAAAAUAAAAGAGGUAUCAUAAUCAAUCCUAUAAAAAUCCCAAACAUAAGAGAACAAAUUAAAGCACAUAAAAUCUAUAUAGAUGAAAUUGUGUUUAGCUUGUGUUGGACAAGAUGGAGGUGAAGUAGAAUGCAAUAACCAAGACACCAAAAUAGUGAAUGAUUAAACUAAUAUUGAUACAAAAUGACUAGAAAUUCAAGAAUCUUAAAAGCAAAAGUUCAAAUAGCUAAAGGACUAAAGUAGUAAACACUUAAUAAAAUUUAAGAAACUAAAAUAAAGAUUUGUUAAAACUCAUAAAUCAAAAUAAAAUAAAAACUCAAAUUUCAAGGACAAGAAUAAAUUUAAAAUGUAAAAGUUAAGGUAGACAAAAAUUAGUGUGGGUUAAAAGUAUUUGUAUUUAUUAAAGAUUUUCACCCUCCAAAAAGCACUCAUCGUCAAAGAAAAUGAUUAAAGGUUCACAUGGCUUCUUUUAAGGUGGGUGUAGGCUUUGCUUAAUGCAUACCUACAUACAUUAAGUCUACAAUAUAGCUCCAUGUGCAAAACAUUUGUCAUAAGUCCAUUUAUUAAUGGACGACUUAGGUGAAACAUCUUUUUAUUAAUCAUCUUUCUGCGAUAACACAAUAUGCAUUAUUUUCUUAUUUAAUUUGAUUUGAAAACUAUAACACGUAAAUAAAACCAAACCAAAAUUUAAAAUCUAGACUUGGAGAGGUCUAUGUUAUGGUAAAUUCUGAUCAAGCAAACUCACUUGACUCUUACGUGUUGCCAACCGUAAAUUUGUAGUUUGGAGAAGAGGUUAUCGACAAAACAAAGAAAAGAUAACACUUCGGUGUGAUGCUUGUUAUUGCAAAUACUAUGAUGCUUAAGUUAGUAUUUUUGCACAAAGUGGGGGCAAAUUGUUUUUAGAGAAAAGUUGAACUUACCUUUAAUUUACAGGGUUGACAUACUCUAUUUACAAUGGAGUUAACGAGUCUUCCUUGUUCUUUUCAGAUUUGGAAUCUACUUUUUUUCUCGAAACUAGAAACUUGAAAAGAUUUGAACCACGAAGGAUGUUUCAAAUCAGACAGUUGAUAUGGAUCAACCACUCGGAUGGAAUUACUAGGCUCACCCUCAGUUAAGGAGGUCAUGAAGGAUUGUAAAGACCUAGUUGACCUUGGUCGAAGCAAAUCAACAUGGUUCAAAGGAGGAAAUUGGCCUCAAC
rnacentral:lncRNA from 1 species